GGAACUGUGCCUGAUAUAAAGGACCACUUUGAUGGAGUGGAUAAAGGAGGUUAGAUUCCUCCCAGCUCCU
rnacentral:tRNA from 1 species